rnacentral:lncRNA from 1 species
UAUUUCUUCAUUUCACAUUCCCCUGAGACUCCAACAACAACAAGAAGUGAUAUUUUUUGUCCAUAUAAUUUUAGAUUAUUAUUUUUCAGGUGGCGAUAUAUAGAAGCAUGAGCCUCAAUGGUUGACCAGAAAGUAAAGAAACCAAGAACUGAGCCCACAGAAAUAAACCUAAUCCCUAUCCUUUUUUCCUUAGAAGCCAACAGCGUGUUUCCAACAAGGCA